rnacentral:rRNA from 3 species
GGACUACCGGGGUUUCUAAUCCCGUUUGCUCCCCUGGCUUUCGCGCCUCAGCGUCAGUAGAGAUCCAGCACGUCGCUUUCGCCACCGGCGUUCCUUCGGAUAUCAACGCAUUUCACCGCUCCACCCGAAGUUCCACAUGCCCCUACCUCCCUCUAGACCAGCGGUAUCCAAGGCUCUUUUCCGGUUAAGCCGAAAGAUUUCACCCCGGACCGGCUGACCCGCCUACGCGCCCUUUAAGCCCAGUGAUUCCGAACAACGUUAGGACGGUUCGUCUUACCGCGGCUGCUGGCAC